AGUAGGGGUUCUGAGAGGAAGGUCCCCCACAUUGGAACUGAGACACGGUCCAAACUCCUACGGGAGGCAGCAGUGAGGAAUAUUGGUCAAUGGACGAGAGUCUGAACCAGCCAAGUAGCGUGCAGGAAGACGGCCCUAUGGGUUGUAAACUGCUUUUAUAAGGGAAUAAAGUGAGAGUCGUGACUCUUUUUGCAUGUACCUUAUGAAUAAGGACCGGCUAAUUCCGUGCCAGCAGCCGCGGUAAUACGGAAGGUCCGGGCGUUAUCCGGAUUUAUUGGGUUUAAAGGGAGCGUAGGCCGGAGAUUAAGCGUGUUGUGAAAUGUAGACGCUCAACGUCUGCACUGCAGCGCGAACUGGUUUCCUUGAGUACGCACAAAGUGGGCGGAAUUCGUGGUGUAGCGGUGAAAUGCUUAGAUAUCACGAAGAACUCCGAUUGCGAAGGCAGCUCACUGGAGCGCAACUGACGCUGAAGCUCGAAAGUGCGGGUAUCGAACAGGAUUAGAUACCCUGGUAGUCCGCACGGUAAACGAUGGAUGCCCGCUGUUGGUCUGAAUAGGUCAGCGGCCAAGCGAAGGCAUUAAGCAUCCCACCUGGGGAGUACGCCGGCAACGGUGAAACUCAAAGGAAUUGACGGGGGCCCGCACAAGCGGAGGAACAUGUGGUUUAAUUCGAUGAUACGCGAGGAACCUUACCCGGGCUUGAAUUGCAGAGGAAGGAUUUGGAGACAAUGACGCCCUUCGGGGCCUCUGUGAAGGUGCUGCAUGGUUGUCGUCAGCUCGUGCCGUGAGGUGUCGGCUUAAGUGCCAUAACGAGCGCAACCCCUCUCCUUAGUUGCCAUCAGGUUAAGCUGGGCACUCUGGGGACACUGCCACCGUAAGGUGUGAGGAAGGUGGGGAUGACGUCAAAUCAGCACGGCCCUUACGUCCGGGGCUACACACGUGUUACAAUGGCAGGUACAGAGAGACGGUCCCUUGCAAAACGGAUCAAAUCCUUAAAGCCUGUCUCAGUUCGGACUGGGGUCUGCAACCCGACCCCACGAAGCUGGAUUCGCUAGUAAUCGCGCAUCAGCCAUGGCGCGGUGAAUACGUUCCCGGGCCUUGUACACACCGCCCGUCAAGCCAUGAAAGCCGGGGGCGCCUAAAGUCCGUGACCGUAAGGAGCGGCCUAGGGCGAAACUGGUAAUUGGGGCUAAGUCGUAACAAGGUA
rnacentral:rRNA from 1 species